GUGGCUUCCACAUUCUUCAGCAGGCCCCUCAUAAGAUCAUCACAAGCAACACAGAGAAAUGUUGGCCUGCUGAAAAUAGAAGUGCAGAGACUCUCUCCCGUGACAGAAUGAGGCGUGGAGGAUUCGCAGAACUGUUUCCUCAAGGGCCCCAUAGUGAUACCGUCUUUUAUUCCUUUUAGUAGCCUCAUCAGUGCCCUGAAUGCAGUGACUUGUGUCAGGACAGCGUUCUCCAUGCUGGCUGCGGGUGACGGCCUGAGCCCCGGUACAGUAUUCCUGCUGGCCUCAGACCGCCCUCCCAGGCAAAACCUGGGGCCAGCCUGUCUGCAGUCUGAAAUGCCCUCCAGAUUAUCCUAAAUGUGCAUGUUAAUGACCAUCAGAUCUGAGAGCUGGUGGAGAAAUUAAGAUAAAUAGAGAAAAUCCUGACUGUGUUUGCUUUGGACCACA
rnacentral:lncRNA from 1 species